CUGUUAUAAUUUAUUGAGUAUACCUAUAUUAUAUUAUAUAAAUAUAUUACUUUAAAUGGGUUAAUAAUUUGUAUGUUGUAGCAAAAAAAAUGUCUGAUUAUUUCCAACAAACUAACACUAUAAAUCAAUCGGAAAAUAAUGAUGGAAACAAAAAGGACGAGACACAGAAGUUAAUUUAAGAAAUGAAAUUCGAGAUUUAAAGGAAUGUUUAAAACAGAAAAGUUUGGAUAUAAUGAUCUCUGAAAAAAUAGCAAGUUUACAUCUCAAAGAAUCUUUAGCCGCAGUUAAAGAACACCUGUAUAACCUUCAAUUGUAAAGUAAUGUCACUUGAAAACUAUCGCUGCAAAUGUGCAAGGAGACCAAUAAUGAAAUACUAAUUGUAUUUUAUUUACUUUAUACCACUAUUUAAUUACUUUAAACCCUUAACUGGAACUAUUCAAUUUAAAAAUCAAUUAUUUUUUUGCUUUUUAUUUUUAGCAAUUUCUUUGAUUAGUUUUAUCAAAGUUCUUUCAACUGUACUGUUUAUAUUACAAUGUAACUUAGUUAUAUUUAUUUAUUUUUCUAAUUUAUCAAAUUUAUGUUAAUAAAUACCUUAGAGUAAUGAAUUUAAUGGAUACAAACAAAUGUCAAUUGUUACUAU
rnacentral:lncRNA from 1 species